rnacentral:rRNA from 1 species
GCCCCCCGAAUUGUAGUCUAGAAACGCGCCAUCGGCCGCGUCUGCCGCUUAAAUCCCUUGGAAGAGGGUAACGGAGAAGGUGAGAGUCCUGUGCCGUGGCGGAUAGCGGUCGCACGAUGCGUCGUUGCAGAGUCGGGUUGCUUGGGAUUGCAGCUUGAAGUGGGUGGUAAAUUCCAUCUAAAGCUAAAUAUUGGCGAGAGACCGAUAGCGAACAAGUACCGUGAGGGAAAGAUGCAAAGAACUUUGAAAAGAGAGUUAAAGAGUGCUUGAAAUCGGCAAGAGGAAACCCGUUUGUGCCCGGUGUCGUCGCGUCGACUCAGCCGUCGAGUAUGCUUUUCGGGGACCGCAAGGCCCUUUGGCUAGACUUGGCGGUGCACUUCGACGUGACGGGUCAGCGCGUUCUCUGCAGGCGAGACAAGGUGUUCAGUGAGGCUCCGGCAAUCUGUUCGCACUGUCGCGUGCGGGGCGCCCGCUGACGGAACGGGCCCAACCGACCCGUCUAGAAACACGGACCAAGGAGUCUGACACGUGUGCGAGUACCCGGGUGGCAAACCCGCGUGCGCAAUGAAAGUGAAGGGCGUGCCCCGCCAACCGACCUUGAUCUUCUGUGAAGGGUUUGAGUGGAGCACAUGUGUCGGGACCCGAAAGAUGGUGAACUAUGCCUGAGGAGGGUGAAGCCAGAGGAAACUCUGGUGGAGGCUCGUAGCGAUACUGACGUGCAAAUCGUUCGUCGAACUUGGGUAUAGGGGCGAAAGACUAAUCGAACCAUCUAGUAGCUGGUUCCCUCCGAAGUUUCCCUCAGGAUAGCUUGAACGCAACGGUUUUG